ensembl:lncRNA
GGACCUGAGUAGCUUUUGAAUAGGAAACGGCAGUUACAUCAAUUGAAUGGUGUUAAUGUAUCUCGGGCAUCUCCAUUUGGUCUGUUUCUUUUCCUUUGUUGGCUUGUACUUAGACACAGAGAGAGAAUCAUCAGGUAACAGCAACAAAGUAGGAGGAGGCGCCCAGAUGCCCGGUACGUGUAAAAGUCUCGGCACCGUGUGGACACGGCCGUCGGGACUGGACUCUGCUGUUCUGAUACUGGGCCGUUCUUGGGACUCGCCUGCGCCACCCGUCUGUUGGCAGUUUGCAGGACAGAAGCAAGACAGCGGCAGGUUUCCUGCCCAGUCAGAGAAGGAGCAGUGUGCCUUCCUCAGUGAGGACUUAAUGUGCGUUGCAGGGCAACGGCUCCAGCAGCAAAUGACAAGGCAGGGCAGCAGCGAGCACUCCUGGAGACCACCGACGACUCAGAGCCAGCAGAGGGAGGGGCUGGUGAAGACGUUCCCUCUGAAGGUAGCCAGCGAAUUCACGUGUUUGAAGAAUUCUGCGGUGAGACUUGCUUCCUGCCUGGGGUGGAAAAACAAGAGGAACUAGAGGUUUUUCUGAACACAGUUUUGUUUUCUUAAUAAAGUGGCCUUGGGGACCUAAUGCAAAAGUCUCAUAGCUCCCAGAGAAGCCACACUGUAGCAAUCACAAAGUGUCUGUGUUUCCAGGGGAAGAGGGGCAGCAAGAGGCUUACCGACCACACAGAAAGAAGUUACCCCUGAACACGAGGAAGGGUCCGGACUUGACCAUGCAGAUUUCCCUCCUGAAACCCUGGUGUGGUUUCUCGUUACACGCGUCGCACACCCCAGGCCCCUCGUCAUGAUGACCUGUAAUGCCCGUGUGACCCAGCUCCCUCCUCACACUCAGCCUUGCCCAGACCGCUUCCUCUCCAGGUUUUUCUGCUCUGACCAUACUGGGAGCCUUGCUCUUCUUAGAGUUUUCAAGCUCAUGACGAUCUCAUAAACUUUGAAUUUGCUGUGAUUUUCUCAGAUUGUAAAUAUUAUCCCUUAGGCCAUUACAUGGCUGCCUUUUAUCGUUUACAUCUCAGCUUUGCCACGAGAAACCUUCACUG